CACGUUCGGAUUGUAGUCUGCAACUCGACUACAUGAAGCUGGAAUCGCUAGUAAUCGCGAAUCAGAAUGUCGCGGUGAAUACGUUCCCGGGUCUUGUACACACCGCCCGUCACACCAUGGGAGUCGGAAAUGCCCGAAGUCAGUNACCUAACCGAAAGGAAGGAGCUGCCGAAGGUGGAGCCGGUAACUGGGGUGAAGUCGUAACAAGGUAUC
rnacentral:rRNA from 1 species